rnacentral:rRNA from 1 species
UACAGAGGGUGCAAGCGUUAAUCGGAAUUACUGGGCGUAAAGCGUGCGUAGACGGUUAUGUAAGUCAGAUGUGAAAGCCCCGGGCUCAACCUGGGAAUUGCAUUUGAGACUGCAUAGCUAGGGUGCGGAAGAGGGAAGCGGAAUUUCCGGUGUAGCGGUGAAAUGCGUAGAUAUCAGGAGGAACACCGGUGGCGAAGGCGGGUC